UCGCGNCGGUGCGCGCAGAAGGGUNUGGGCUCGAGCCUGCCUGGAGCCGCCGCCGGUGCAGAUCUUGGUGGUAGUAGCAAAUACUCCAGCGAGGCCCUGGAGGACUGACGUGGAGAAGGGUUUCGUGUGAACAGCCGUUGCACACGAGUCAGUCGACCCUAAGCCCUAGGAGAAAUCCGAUGUAAACGGCGUUGGGAAAAAUUCGAUCGAAAGACAGAAGCCCACUGAUCGGGCGAAAGGGAAUCCGGUUCCUAUUCCGGAACCCGGCAGCGGAACCGUUGUUUGUCGGGCCCUCACAAGGGGUUCGUCAGGGCAACCUAAAAGGGCCCGGAGACGCCGUCGGGAGCCCCGGAAAGAGUUUUCUUUUCUGCAUGAGCGUUCGAGUUCCCUGGAAUCCUCUCGCAGGGAGAUAGGGUUUGGAACGCGAAGAGCACCGCAGUUGCGGCGGUGCCCGGGAUUUCCCGACGGACCUUGAAAAUCCGGGAGAUGGGCCACGUGGAGGUGUCGCGCCGGCUCGUACCCAUAUCCGCAGCAGGUCUCCAAAGGUGAAGAGCCUCUANU
rnacentral:rRNA from 1 species